AAACUUCUGUUUCAGCGAUGAUCUGUGACGUGAAUUUGUGGUGCUCAAGGAAUACAAAGGAAAUGUGUGUAAAUAACCGAUUAAAGUGAACUGAACUUAUAUAGUAUGGUAAUGAAUGCCAUAGCCAUUGCUUACCCAUUCACUGCGAGAAGACGUAAAAUAACGAGAGUGAAAGAGAGAAGAGAGAACGUCUGAAUGUGGUGCUAAAUAACAUCACAGAGAAUAAACAGCUAAAAGAAUGAAGAUGGACCAGUUUCCAGAGGAAUCCUAGCUAUGCAGCGCUGGGAAGAUAUUGAAAGACACAUGAUAGAACAUUAGUGAGAGUGGAGACGUUUCUGGUGGCAAACGUCUGAUGACAAUGAUUUAAGAAGGGACAGAUAUGCCGACACGAAUCAAGUGACUGACAGAACAUUCACGAAAAAGGAGAAGAGGAGAGGAGAGAGGCGGACAUCCAAACUUAAAGCCUGGCAAUUCAGCGAUGGAAGAGGCCAAAGUAAGCUCUGUGGCGAUCGGGGUGGCUGUGGGAUGCACCUUCCUCGCUCUCCUCAUCAUGAUCGGCAUUGUGCAGUUCUGCUGCAGUCAAUCCUUCAAGAAAUGCAGGAAACACUGCAAGAAAAAGGAGGCAUCACUGAAAGACAAAGUACUUAAGAAGUUUGGCCAAAAGAAGUCUCCCCCUCCCUUCUCCAUCAGUGGCUUUAUGAAGUAGAGGACCUGCAUCACACAGGAGAACAUCUCUGUUGAUUAGAGUCGCUCUUUCUUUCUCCCUCUCUCUGAUAUUGAUCUAACAGUCAUGUAUUUGAACGUAAUACUCUGUCUCCUGUGAAUAUAGUGCAGUAUGUCUCUGUAGAGGGGGCAGCAGUAGCCUCGAGGUUAGAGAAGCGGGCCAGCAACCGGAGGGGUGCCACGUACUGCUAAUGUUCCUUUGGAACUUAACCCCCUAAACGGUUAUUUUGGGCUAUGCACUGCCGGUGCCCUCUGCUCCAGCCUCUCCAACCGUGUGUAUAUACAAUGACUUGGGAAAGUAUUCAGACCACUUGACUCUCCACAUUUUGUUACUUUACAGCCUUAUUCAAAAAUGUUUUAAUUCUGUUUUUUUUACUCAUCAAUCUACACACAACACCCCAUAAUGACAAAGCAAAAACAGGUUUUUAUGGAGAGAAAAAUAAUAUUUAAUUACAAAUGAAAAACGGAAAUGUCCCAUUUACAUAAGUAUUCAGACCCUUUACACAGUACUUUGUUGAAGCACCUUUGGCAGCAAUUACAGCAUUGAGUCUUUGAUAUGAUGCUACAAGCUUGGCACACCUGUAUUUGGGGAGUUUCUCCCAUUCCUCUCUGCAGAUCCUCUCAAGCUCAGUCAGGUUGGAUGGGGAGCGUUGAUGCAUUUUGUCAGGUCUCUCCACAGAUGUUUUGAUCGAGUUCAAGUCCGGGCUCUGGCAGGGCCACUCAAGGACAUUCCGAGACUUGUACCGAAGCCACUCCUAUUGGCUUGGCUGUGUGCUUAGAGUCAUUGUCCUAUUGGAAGGUGAACCUUUGCCCCAGUCUGAGAUCCUGAGCGCUCUGGAGCAGGUUUUCAUCAAGGAUCUCUCUGUACUUUGCUCCGUUAAUCUUUGCCUCGAUCCUGACUAGUCUUCCAGUCCCUGCUUCUGAAAAACAUCCCCACAGCAUGAUGCUGUCACCACCAUGCUUCACCGUAGGGAUGGUGCCAGGUUUCCUUCAAACGUGAUGCUUGGCAUUCAGGCCAAAGAACUCAAUCUUGGUUUCAUCAGACCAGAUAAUCUUGUUUCUCAUGAUCUGAGAGUCUUAAGCAGGCUGUCAUGUGGCUUUUGUCUGGCCACUCUACCAUAAAGGCCUGAUUGGUGGAGUGCUGCAGAGACGGGAGGUCCAUCUGGAAGUUUCUCCCAUCUCCACAGAGGAACUCUAGAGUUCUGUCAGAGUGACAAUUGGGUUCUUGGCCCUUCUCCCCCGAUCGCUCAGUUUGGUCGGGCUGCCAGCUCUAGGAAAAGCCUUGGUGGUUCCAAUCUUCUUCCAUUUAAGAAUGAUGGAGGCCACUGUGUUCUUGGGGACCUUCAAUGCUGCAGAUAUAUUUUGGUACCCUUCCCCAGAUCUGUGCGUUGACACCAUCCUGUCUCGGAGCUCUACAGACAAUUCCUUCGACCUCAUGGCUUGGUUUUUGCUCUGACAUUCACAGUCAACUGUGGGAUCUUAUAUAGACAGGUGUGUGCCUUUCCAAAUCAUGUCCAAUCAAUUGAAUUUACCACAAGUCGACUUCAAUCCUCAACAACUCAAGGAUGAUCAAUGGAAACAGGAUGCACCUGAGCUCAAUUUCGAGACUCAUAGCAAAGUGUCUGAAUACUUAUGUAAAGAAUGUAUUUACGAUUUUUAUUUUGCUAAGGAAUUUUUUAAAUGUUUAUACAUUUUAGAAUAAGGCUAUAAAAAAAGUUAAAAGGUCUGACCUCCCGAGUGGUGCAGGGGUCUAAGGCACUGCAUCGCAGUGCUAGAGGCAUCACUACAGGUCCGGGUUUGAUCCCGGGCUGUGUCGCAGCAGGCCGCGACCGGGAGACCCAUGAGGCGGAGCAAAAUUGGCCCAGUAAUGGGAUGUCCUUGUCCCAUCGCGCUCUAGCCGGGAGCAUGCACGCUGACUUCGGUCGCAAGCUGUACGUAUUUCCUCCAACUCAGUGGUGCGGCUGGCUUCCGGGUGAAUCGAGCACUACGGGAGUUGCAGCAAUAGGACAAGACUGUAACUACCAAUUCGAUAUCAUGAAAUUGAGGAGAAAAAAGGGUUAGAAGUACUCCCCCCCAAAGAAAUUGUAAUUCAAGGGGUCUGAAUACUUUCCGAAGCCACUGUAUAUCAAGGGGUUGGAUAAAAAGCAGAAGACAAAUGUCCAUCUCGUGUGGACCAAUAAAAUGUAUCUUAUCUUAUGCUUACUUAGCAUAGCCUUUGUGUCUCAUGAGUAUGUCACUGUAGGCUGAUGCAGAGUAAUGGAGGAGCGUGUGUUUGAAAGUAUGGCUCUGGCACGCUCACAUAAGAUGGAGCAUAUCAGUUAUUUCAAAGUUUCUAACGCUCUCUCUCUCUCUCUCUCUCUCUCUCUCUCUCUCUCUCUCUCUCUCUCUCUCUCUCUCUCUCUCUCUCUCUCUCUCUCUCUCUCACUCAUAUCUCACCACACAAACCUCAAACAACUUACUCUCUCUUCCGGCCCACGUUUAAACAGAGUUAAUACAGACAGGGGAGUUGAUUUGAACACUGUUGUAAAACCACAUUUUGUUUCUUUCAUAAUAGAAAAUAAAAUAAGAAAUGUAACCACUGUUCAACUGUCACGCUUUGUCCUCUCUGGAUGAAGAAAAAAAUGGUGUGUUAGGGUGUCUCUAUUGAUUGCGGAAAACACGGAGAAGUGUGAGACUCAGAGGAUGGUUGUGGAGGAAAGAGUACUGAUGACGAAAAGGAGAAUGGUGCCUUGGCGGCUAGUCAACAAGCUAACCACAGAAACUCACACAUCAUCUUUCUUAUAAGCUGGAGCUAAAGUUCCUCUGAAGUCUAAUUUUAGAUCAGUUUGAUCGUUUAAACAUUAUAUUCUUUGUCUUUGUCCCACGUAUCUCUCUCAUAUGUUUCCAUGCCCGAUCUGUUCUGGUAUCAAGUGUAUUUGUUAAUGACAGAUAACGCUCAUUUGUAAAUAAAUGUGUGACUGUGUGUGGGUAAAGUAAUAUUUAAAAAAAAAAACAUAUUUCGUUGAAGCCUUGGUUUCUUGUACAGUAUGUGUAGUUGACAUUUUUAUUGAAAAUAUUUCCCUUUCUGAUAUUGACUGGCUAUCUUCCUCCAACAUCUUGUGGCCUUUCCCCUGUGUGUGACAGAACAGAGAUCGACUAGCGCAUUACAUGCACAGGACUCCGUGGAACACUGGAUCUAUAUUGAUAAUCAGGGCUAAUAUAUUCACAGUAGGCAGAUCAUCAGUUUGCUCUGACGAGAGAGAUGGUCUCUGAUAUACAGCAACUUUUCUUGUUUGCACUACUGUGCGUGUCCCCAAUACAUUUACAUACUAAUGGUCUGUCCCAAUGCCAUACAGCACGAUGUAUUUUCAUCUGCCUAUUUCCCCCUCCGCCCUGCUGUUUUCUGUGAAAGCCAUGGCAAUUGAAACCUGACCGAGGAGUUGUGGGAGUUUCGAAGAACCUUAUAAGACAUGGAAAAGAAAACUUAGGCUUUUCUUUAUCUGUGGUUUGAGCGAGUUGGAGGGAUAUUCUUGUGAUGGUGAGAGUUCAAGGCGGUGUGUUUAGCAUUACAGGUCACACUGCCCUGUUGGUUGAGAGCAGGGAAUGCUGCCACGGGUGAUAUACCAGCUAAGGAGGAUUUAAAAAAGAAUCUUUGCUCCCUUUUAGAGCAGACAAUAGCUCCUCACCCUCAUGGCUGCUCUACAGGUCACAGAUAGGGCCUAUAGGCCUACCACCAGUGCGAUGGUUCACAGUAUGUAGAAAUUAUAUUCCAUGUGUUUGAUACAUGUGAAAUGACAGUUAAAAUUCAGCAUGUGAGGACGACAUUAAUUCUGUUCAUGUCAAGUGUCUUUUUGGGGGGUAAUACUCUUGAUUUUAGUGAGAAAGUGCAAAUAGGAAAGGAAAGGGAAAGGGGGAUACCUAGUCAGUUGUACAACUGAAUGCCUUCAACUGAAAUGUAUCUUACAAAUACCUGUACUCAAUUCAGAUCUUUUCAAUUUCAAUAAAACAAGGAUAUAAUGUGUA